AUUGAACGCUGGCGGCAUGCUUUACACAUGCAAGUCGAACGGUAACAGGGAGCUUGCUCCGCUGACGAGUGGCGAACGGGUGAGUAAUGCAUCGGAACGUACCGUGUAAUGGGGGAUAACGUAGCGAAAGUUACGCUAAUACCGCAUACGCCCUGAGGGGGAAAGUGGGGGACCGCAAGGCCUCACGUUAUACGAGCGGCCGAUGUCGGAUUAGCUAGUUGGUGGGGUAAAGGCCUACCAAGGCGACGAUCCGUAGCGGGUCUGAGAGGAUGAUCCGCCACACUGGGACUGAGACACGGCCCAGACUCCUACGGGAGGCAGCAGUGGGGAAUUUUGGACAAUGGGGGCAACCCUGAUCCAGCCAUGCCGCGUGAGUGAAGAAGGCCUCGGUUGUAAG
rnacentral:rRNA from 1 species